CCUACGGGUGGCAGCAGUGGGGAAUAUUGGGCAAUGGGCGCAAGCCUGACCCAGCAACGCCGCGUGAAGGAAGAAGGCUUUCGGGUUGUAAACUUCUUUUCUCAGGGACGAAGCAAGUGACGGUACCUGAGGAAUAAGUCACGGCUAACUACGUGCCAGCAGCCGCGGUAAUACGUAGGUGGCAAGCGUUAUCCGGAUUUACUGGGUGUAAAGGGCGUGUAGGCGGGACAGCAAGUCAGAUGUGAAAACCAUGGGCUCAACCUGUGGCCUGCAUUUGAAACUGUUGGUCUUGAGUGUCGGAGAGGCAGGCGGAAUUCCUAGUGUAGCGGUGAAAUGCGUAGAUAUUAGGAGGAACACCAGUGGCGAAGGCGGCCUGCUGGACGACAACUGACGGUGAGGCGCGAAAGCGUGGGGAGCAAACAGGAUUAGAUACCCUUGUAGUC
rnacentral:rRNA from 1 species